UUUUUCCUGCGGGGUGCGUGAUGGGCUUUAUUUAAACCCACAUCUCUGAAACGGGAUGUCGCCCUCACGGCGUGGAUUGCAGGCCUCCCGGCCCCCUUUGUGGGUCACUGGAAGUUGGAAGCAAGGAAGCGCUGUGGAGACAACCCACCUGCCAAUUACGUGCAGGUUUUAAAGGAGUCCACACGGCUUCUGCGGGACCCCC
rnacentral:other from 1 species